UUCGCAAUGCCCGAAAGGGUGACGAAGCGACGCCGCGUGGGUGAGGAAGGCCUUCGGGUUGUAAAGCCCUGUCAGGAGUUAAGAAAUGUAAGUGCGCUAAUAUCGCAUUUAUUUGACGAAGGCUCCAAAGGAAGUCACGGCUAACUCUGUGCCAGCAGCCGCGGUAAUACAGAGGUGGCAAGCGUUGUUCGGAAUUAUUGGGCGUAAAGAGCACGUAGGUGGGUUUGUAAGUCAGAUGUGAAAGCCUUCUGUUCAACGGAAGAAUUGCAUCUGAAACUGCAAGUCUUGAGUGUAGGAGGGGAGAAUGGAACUUCUGGUGGAGCGGUGAAAUGCGUAGAUAUCAGAAGGAACGCCGGCGGCGAAAGCGAUUCUCUGGCCUAUUACUGACACUCAGUGUGCGAAAACUAGGGGAGCAAACGGGAUUAGAUACCCCGGUAGUCCUAGCCGUAAACGAUGGGCACUAAGUAGAGGGGUUUU
rnacentral:rRNA from 1 species